AGUUACCAGCACGUUAUGGUGGGCACUCUAAGGAGACUGCCGGUGACAACCGAGGAAGUGGGGAUGACGUCCAAGUCAUCAUGGCCCUUACGGCCUGGGCUACACACGUGCUACAAUGGUCGGUACAAAGGGUUGCCAAGCCGCGAGGUGGAGCUAAAUCCCAUAAAACCCGAUCGUAGUCCGGAUCGCAGUCUGCAACUCGACUGCGUGAAGUCGGAAUCGCUAGUAAUCGUGAAUCAGGAUGUCACGGUGAAUACGUUCCCGGGCCUU
rnacentral:rRNA from 1 species